UUGCGCAGACACUUUGGUGACUCUAGAUAACCUCGGGUCGAUCGCACGUCCCUGUGACGGCGACAACGCAUUCGGAUGUCUUCCCUAUCAACUUUCGAUAGUACUUUCUGUGCCUACCAUGGUGACCACAGGUAACAGGGGAAUCAGGGUUGGAUUCCGGAGAGGGAGCCUGAGAAACGGCUACCACAUCCAAGGAAGGCAGCAGGCGCGCAAAUUACCCACUCCCGACGCGGGGAGGUAGUGAUGAAA
rnacentral:rRNA from 1 species